GACGAGGUGGCUGAGUGGUUAAGGCGGUGGACUGCUAAUCCAUUGUGCUUUGCACACCUGGGUUCGAAUCCCAUCCUUGUCG
rfam:Danio rerio chromosome 4, GRCz11 reference primary assembly.